rnacentral:rRNA from 1 species
GCGGGCUGGAACCUCUCGGGGUUACAGCCUUGCUGAAUUAUUCACCCUUGUCUUUUGCGUACUUCUUGUUUCCUUGGUGGGUUCGCCCACCACUAGGACAAACAUAAACCUUUUGUAAUUGCAAUCAGCGUCAGUAACAAAUUAAUAAUUACAACUUUCAACAACGGAUCUCUUGGUUCUGGCAUCGAUGAAGAACGCAGCGAAAUGCGAUAAGUAGUGUGAAUUGCAGAAUUCAGUGAAUCAUCGAAUCUUUGAACGCACAUUGCGCCCUUUGGUAUUCCAAAGGGCAUGCCUGUUCGAGCGUCAUUUGUACCCUCAAGCUUUGCUUGGUGUUGGGCGUCUUGUCUCUAGCUUUGCUGGAGACUCGCCUUAAAGUAAUUGGCAGCCGGCCUACUGGUUUCGGAGCGCAGCACAAGUCGCACUCUCUAUCAGCAAAGGUCUAGCAUCCAUUAAGCCUUUUUUUCAACUUUUGACCUCGGAUCAGGUAGG